CUGAAUCUCUUUUUCUUCUUCUCACUCCCAGCGGGCUUCAAGGCAUCGGUCUUCCUUCCCAUCCUAGAUGUCACGAGCAUCUUCAGUCAUAUACAUCGGGGGCUAAGUGGUCGGGGGGGAGGCACUAGCGUUCGGAGAUCGAGCAGUGGUGGUGACGUUAGGGCUACAGUACAGAAGUUGGAAAGGCAAAUGGCAAGGAUAAAAUAGAAGGGAUAAACUUCCGUUAUGUACAACAGUGGCACAAUAAAAACUGUGCAAGUGAAUGGUUUUUGAUUUAAAGGAUCCCCAAAAUUCAGGAGACCUAAUUGGUGGUUACUUUUAUUUCAGUAAGAGAUAAGAUUAUUUUCCAGAGAUGGUCGUGUUGACCAAAGAUUGACCCUUAUACCCACCAAACUAGUCGGCUAAAGGUUCGGGGGCUGUGUGCCA
rnacentral:lncRNA from 1 species